CCCUCUGUCCCUAUCUACUAUCUAGCGAAACCACUGCCAAGGGAACGGGCUUGGAAAAAUCAGCGGGGAAAGAAGACCCUGUUGAGCUUGACUCUAGUCUGGCACUGUAAGGAGACAUGAGAGGUGUAGCAUAAGUGGGAGACGGUAUCCAUCCCGUCGCCGGUGAAAUACCACUACUUUCAUCGUUUCUUUACUUACUUGGUUAGGCGGAGGGCGUUCGUCGAGGGUACACACCCCGGCGGUACGGUCUUCUCGCGCCAAGCGUUCAAGGGUUGCCGGCGGACAGAAGUGCGGGUCGACGUCGGUGAGUCGUGUAACCUGGCUUGUCCAGGCCACGGCCCGGCGACGGCUUUAGCACGCUCUGAACCCGACCGGCAAACACUCCCUAGCGUGAUCCGAUCCGAGGACACUGCCAGGCGGGGAGUUUGACUGGGGCGGUACAUCUGUCAAAGAAUAACGCAGGUGUCCUAAGGCCAGCUCAGCGAGGACAGAAACCUCGCGUAGAGCAAAAGGGCAAAUGCUGGCUUGAUCCCGAUGUUCAGUACGCAUAGGGACUGCGAAAGCACGGCCUAUCGAUCCUUUUGGCUUGAAGAGUUUUCAGCAAGAGGUGUCAGAAAAGUUACCACAGGGAUAA
rnacentral:rRNA from 3 species